UUUCCGUAGGUGAACCUGCGGAGGGAUCAUUACAAGUGACCCCGGUCUAACCACCGGGAUGUUCAUAACCCUUUGUUGUCCGACUCUGUUGCCUCCGGGGCGACCCUGCCUUCGGGCGGGGGCUCCGGGUGGACACUUCAAACUCUUGCGUAACUUUGCAGUCUGAGUAAACUUAAUUAAUAAAUUAAAACUUUUAACAACGGAUCUCUUGGUUCUGGCAUCGAUGAAGAACGCAGCGAAAUGCGAUAAGUAAUGUGAAUUGCAGAAUUCAGUGAAUCAUCGAAUCUUUGAACGCACAUUGCGCCCCCUGGUAUUCCGGGGGGCAUGCCUGUUCGAGCGUCAUUUCACCACUCAAGCCUCGCUUGGUAUUGGGCAACGCGGUCCGCCGCGUGCCUCAAAUCGACCGGCUGGGUCUUCUGUCCCCUAAGCGUUGUGGAAACUAUUCGCUAAAGGGUGUUCGGGAGGCUACGCCGUAAAACAACCCCAUUUCUAAGGUGACCUCGGAU
rnacentral:sRNA from 1 species